GGAGGGUGCGAGCGUUGUCCGGAAUCACUGGGCGUAAAGGGCGCGUAGGCGGCGCAGUAAGUAGGGGGUGAAAUCUCACGGCUCAACCGUGAAACGGCCUCCUAAACUGCUGUGCUUGAGCACGGUAGAGGCAGAUGGAAUUCCCGGUGUAGCGGUGGAAUGCGUAGAUAUCGGGAAGAACACCAGUGGCGAAGGCGGUCUGCUGGGCCGUUGCUGACGCUGAGGCGCGACAGCGUGGGGGGGAGCAAACAGGAUUAGAUACCCUGGUAGUCCACGCCGUAAACGAUGGGUACUAGGCGUCGGGGGGGAGCGACCCCUUCGGUGCCGUCGCUAACGCAGUAAGUACCCCGCCUGGGGAGUACGGCCGCAAGGCUG
rnacentral:rRNA from 1 species